rnacentral:siRNA from 1 species
GAACUCCACAGUUAAGCGUGCUU